rnacentral:lncRNA from 1 species
CUAAUUUUUGGUGUGUUGAUCAUGUUGUGUGUUCUGUUUCGCCAUGAUUUUUCUUGAGAUUUAUUUAAUCAUUUUUGAAUUAAUGUGGAUUUGUUCAUUCUGUUGCUUCAAUGUGCUUCCAACUUGCAUGCUUUGCCUUAUUUGAUUUGUGAAAUGAAUUUGGUUGAUGCUAUUGACAUGAGACCUUUUGGAUUAUCUUCUUAUUGGAUUAAAGUUGAUUCAUGUCAAUUUUCAGGUUCUGUUUUGAAUUAUUUCUCCCUCU